CCUACGGGUGGCAGCAGUGGGGAAUAUUGCACAAUGGGCGCAACUCUGAUGCAGCGACGCCGCGUGCGUGAAGAAGUAUCUCUGUAUUUAAAGCUCUAUCAGCAGGGAAGAAAAUGACGGUACCUGAUUAUGAAGCCCCGGCUAACUACGUGCCAGCAGCCGCGGCAAUACGUAGGGGGCAAGCGUUAUCCGGAUUUACUGGGGUUAAAGGGAGGGUAGACGGCAGCACAAGUCUGGAGUGAAAUGCCGGGGCUUAACCCCGGAACUGCUUUGGAAACUGUGCAGCUAGAGUGCAGGAGAGGAAAGUGGAAUGCAUGGUGUAGCGGUGAAAUGCGUAGAUAUUA
rnacentral:rRNA from 1 species